rnacentral:rRNA from 1 species
CCUACGGGUGGCAGCAGUGAGGAAUAUUGGUCAAUGGGCGGAAGCCUGAACCAGCCAAGUAGCGUGCAGGAUGACGGCCCUACGGGUUGUAAACUGCUUUUAUACGGGAAUAACGCGCCUUACGUGUAGGGCUUUGCAUGUACCGUAUGAAUAAGGACCGGCUAAUUCCGUGCCAGCAGCCGCGGUAAUACGGAAGGUCCGGGCGUUAUUCGGAUUUAUUGGGUUUAAAGGGAGCGUAGGCGGUAUGUCAAGUCAAGGGUGAAAUCCCCGCGCUCAACGUGGGAACUGCCUUUGAAACUGGCAAACUGGAGUGUGUGAGAGGAUAGUGGAAUUCCAGGUGUAGGAGUGAAAUCCGUAGAUAUCUGGAGGAACAUCAGUGGCGAAGGCGACUAUCUGGCACAUAACUGACGCUGAGGAGCGAAAGCGUGGGUAGCAAACAGGAUUAGAUACCCUUGUAGUC